rnacentral:rRNA from 1 species
UACGUAGGGAGCAAGCGUUGUCCGGAAUCAUUGGGCGUAAAGCGCGCGUAGGUAGCCUCAUAAGUCCGCUGUGAAAGUCAAAGGCUCAACCUUUGAAAGCCGGUGGAUACUGUGAGGCUAGAGUACGGAAGAGGCGAGUGGAAUUCCUGGUGUAGCGGUGGAAUGCGCAGAUAUCAGGAGGAACACCAAUAGCGAAGGCAGCUCGCUGGGACGUUACUGACACUGAGGCGCGAAAGCGUGGGGAGCGAACAGG